AAGUUGUUUACUGAUAGAUGAAUAAGUUUAUUGUGAUAUAUGAUGCUUUUCCGCCCCACUUCUUAUAUCAACCUGGGCAUCCACCCUCUGUAUUAUCAUAAGCAGUUUAAGAAGGUUCAACCCUUGAUCAACUCUUCUGUUGCUUUACUUUUUCAUUAUUUCUCAUCUAAAAUUUUUAAAACGAAACACCAACCGCCUCAGAUACGACCUAAAUCUUUAAGUUACCCAUUUUUUUUAUUUAUUUAUUUUAUUUUUAUCAUCAUCGUUUCCAUAUCAAUUUUAUUUUAGGUUCAGAUUUUAAGUGAGAAGCUGGACUUCACUCAUGUUCAGUCAAAGUGCGGCUCCAAGGACAAUCUGAAGUACACGCCAAAAGGAGGCAAUGUCAUGAUUCCAAGCGUUAAGCUGGACUUUAGCCACGUUCAGUCUAAAUGUGGCUCCCUGGAUAAGGUCCACCACUCGGCAGGCGGGGGAAACGUUCACAUCCAGACCAAGAAGAUCGACUUGAGCCAUGUCACCUCCAAAUGUGGCUCCAUGUCCAACAUUCAUCACAGACCAGGUGACUCACAGUGUGCUUAAAAAAAAAAAAAAAGAUAAAUCAAAAGUUUUCUGUGUUUUACUGAAUAUUAAUCGGCAGCUCUUAAUUAGUUUAAAAAGGGAAAAUGAAACCUUUGGAGUUCCACAAGGAUAUGUCUGUGGGACUUUUUUUUCUCUACAUUGUGAUUGAGUGAAAUUUGAAAAAAUGAUGCAUUCCAGAAAUGAAACUUUGAGAAACAGUUUA